rnacentral:rRNA from 1 species
UACAGAGGGGCAAGCGUUGUUCGGAAUUACUGGGCGUAAAGGGCGCGUAGGCGGCCUUCUAAGUCGAACGUGAAAUCCCUGGGCUCAACCCAGGAACUGCGUCCGAUACUGGAAGGCUUGAAUCCGGGAGAGGGAUGCGGAAUUCCAGGUGUAGCGGUGAAAUGCGCAGAUAUCAGGAGGAACACCGGUGGCGAAGGCGGUUCUCUGGGCAUUACCUGACGCUGGAGGAGCGAAAGUGUGGGGAGCGAACAGG